UGCAGAAGUCUCUCAGAACACUUGAAUUACAAUAUGCUGAAAGGUGCUGCUGUUUCUUCAAGAGGAGGAAGAGGAAAGCUCUCCAGAGACACAAAUGAAGACGAGAGAGAAACCCUGGUCUCUUUGUGCUUUCUCUCUCUCUCUCUCUCUCUCUCUCUGUCUCCGUCUCUAGCCCUCUUCAUAUAACCCUCUCUUUCCCCCUCAGUCCCCCCCCUCCCCUUCUGACCCUCAUUCUCUGCUGUCGGAGGUCCUGUAGUUUACCUUGGGUCGGCUGGACUGGCUGGACCACCGGGCAGCAGAAGAUGUUUGCUGAGCUGAUCUACUGGUUUUCGCUGCUCUGGAAUGAGCAGACAGACAGUAACGCGUUUGCUGUUCCACCUCGGAGCUUUAACUGUGGACUAGCUGUACCAGCGGUGGAGUCUUCGUGUAUUUAUGGUCACAAACUGAAACUGGAUCAACACAAACUGCUUGGGGGGGGGGGGGACAAGUGACCACAAACACACAGUUGAUAGACUGAUUGGCUGACAGACUGGAUUCAGCUGGUUUCUGGCUAUGUUUUUGUUGUGUUUUUUUCUUCCUUACUGACUGGUUCAGAGGAGUGUAUUUCUGUGGAGAUGGACAACAAAAGGAUGGGAAGCAUCGAGACUGUCGGACCACACAA